rnacentral:lncRNA from 1 species
UCUGAAAUAAAAAUUAAACUAAGGCCACACCAAUUUGAUUCCUUGUUCGACGGACCCGCCCGCACCUAUUUUUUUCAAAACAGAAUUUUUUUAUUUUUUUUAUAUUCCCGCUUCCCGCAUCCGGAAAUGUAAUCAUGUCUAUUUCCCGCACCGUUUUUUUGUAAAUAUUAUAACAAGAUAUCAACAUUUGUUUUUAAAAUCACAGUCUAACCUGUAUAUAACGAUUUUA